GAUGAAGAACGCAGCGAAAUGCGAUAAGUAAUGCGAAUUGCAGAUUUCAGUGAGUCAUCGAAUCUUUGAACGCACAUUGCGCCCGCCGGCAUUCCGGCGGGCAUGCCUGUUCGAGCGUCAUUUCAACCCUCAAGCCCGCUUUCGUGGGCUUGGUGUUGGGGGAUCACCGGUAGGCCCUUCUCGGGGCUGAUGGCGACCCCUGAAAACCAGUGGCGGUCCCGCCCGCGGCAACCUUUGCGUAGUAACUCACCUCGCACUGGACCGGGCGGCGGCUCGCCGUAAAACCCCAACUCACGAAAUGUUGACCUCGGAUCAGGUAGGAAUACCCGCUGAACUUAAGCAUAUCAAUAAGCGGAGGA
rnacentral:misc_RNA from 1 species